AUGAAGGUCUACAAGGAGCUCCAAACGAACAAGCUCGAGAUGAAGGAGGCCGUAAAAAGGAAGAAGCUCGAGAUUGAGAAGGCUGUCCAAACGAAGAAGCUCGAGAUUGAGGCAAUCAGCACGAACACCAAAGCAAAAGAGGUGGCGCUAGCUUUCAUUGCGAAGGACAAUAGCGAGAAAAGAAGAGUGAGCCGGCGGCGAGGAUUCGAAGGAAUCACGGCGACGGAGCAGAUCGAGGAGGGAGAGAGACGAGGGUAGGCAGCGCAGGGAUCGCCGGAGAGGAAUCGCGACGAGGGCUUCCUCCUAUCAGUCAUGGAGCACAAGGAGACCGGCUGCCAGUCUCGUGAGGGCCCCAUCCUUUGCGUCAAUAACUGCGGCUUCUUCGGCAGUGCGGCGACCAUGAACAUGUGCUCCAAGUGCCACAAGGAGAUGGCGAUGAAGCAGGAGCAGGCCAAGCUGGCCGCCUCCUCUUUUGACAGCAUCGUCAACGGUGGUGAUGCCGCGAAAGAACAUCUUGCUGCUGGCAACACGGCGGUGGCAGUUGCUCACGUAGAGGCGAAGACGCUUAUUACCGCACAGCCUGCUGAUAUCGCCGGUCCCAGCGAGGCGGCGAUGGAGAACCCCAAAGGCCCAAGCCGGUGCAGCACCUGCAGAAAGAGGGUCGGGCUGACCGGAUUCAACUGCCGGUGCGGGAACCUCUACUGCGCGACGCACCGUUACUCGGACAAGCAUGAGUGCAAGUUUGACUACCGCGCCGCGGCCAUGGACGCCAUCGCCAAGGCCAACCCGGUGGUGAAGGCGGAGAAGCUCGACAAGAUCUAGGAAGGGCCCCCCUACGGUCGGCAGAACAUAAGGUCCCAAAUCAAAUCUGCGCUACCUCGUCAUCGUGCGUCUUUGCUGCAUUAUCCUUUCAUCAUGUUGGCUUCUGCAAUCCUAGUUGUUGUUGGGCAAUCGUGAUGCACGGCACACGCGCCUCGGCGGCAGCCCCAGGUCCGAACGGUCUCCUUGUUGGCUAUGUUGUGUAAGCUUUAUUUAUGGUCGUCUCUCUGCGCGGCGGAACGGUAACGGUAUUGUGGCUUUCGCAUUUUGGCUAGCACUCUGUAAUGUACUCCUGUUUCCUCCUGGUGUCCGUCUGUCUGUCUGUCUUACAGUCGCAACCGGUAAUGGUAUCGAGUAAGCGUCGUCGUCUGUUAUUAUGGUAUAUCCAUGGUCUUUCCCCCUUGUCAA